rnacentral:lncRNA from 1 species
UCGUGGUGGGAUCAGUUAAGAGUAAUGGCGAUGAUGGGAUGUAAUGGAUGGUGUAGGGAUCAAGCAGCAAAUCCUAAAGUUAGAAACUUAGGGGGUCAAAUUGUAAUGUUUGUAGAAAUUGGAAGGGUUUUUUUGUAAAUUUCGUAAUUUUCCCAUUUUUGGUAAUUUGUAUUUUUUUGAUAUUUUGUAAUAAUAUUAUGAUAUUAAAUAAUAAUUUUCAUUUGAUGUCAAAUUUACAAUUUUUUCUGAAUUAAC